CGCACGCUCCUUAGAUCCAUCUCUGGUCCAAUAGGAGAUGUUUGAGUCAUUGGCGUGCAAUAAUAGGCAAUACCUUCUUUUUGAUUUCAUGUGAUAACGUCACUAUACUACUCACAUUAACUAAAAAGAGGACAAA
rfam:Trachymyrmex zeteki contig11623, whole genome shotgun sequence.